ACUAAGCAGUAAACUGACCAGAAGGAUGACCAACUGUGGAAUGUCCCAAAUACCCUGACAUGAAGUGUGAACAGAGAAGCAAAAAAGGACACCAAUCCAGGGUGGUGGGAAGAAGCAGAAUCUGAUGGGAGAAGAAUGAAACUACCAUAUGGAGAUGUUUAAGCUCCAGGCAUGCCCGAGGGUGAUGACAUCAGAUGCAAAGCCAGAAUUGCUCAUCUCAAUCCUGCUCAGAUUCCUGACCUACAAAGAAAUAUGAGAGCCACAGAACAUGGUCAUGGAAACCAGAAGAUCCAGAAGAUGGCACAAAGUGUGGAGGCCGAGAAAAUCAAGGCCAUUCCACCUCAAGUUUAGCGUUAGCACAAGUACAGCCAUCCCAGGCCCCAAUGAAUAAGAGCUGAACUUUACAUUACUUCAGUUACA